rnacentral:rRNA from 1 species
GCUAACUUCGUGCCGUGGUCGGGUGUGAUGCGUAGGGUGCAAGCGUUCCUCGGAAUUACUGGGCGUGAAGACUGCGUAGGUGGUCGGUUAAGGCCGGUGUGAAAGGCCUGGGCUGAACCUGGGAACUGCAGUGGAUACUGGGCGACUAGAGUGUGGUAGAGGGUAGCGGAAUUCCUGGUGUAGCAGUGAAAUGCGUAGAGAUCAGGAGGAACAUCCAUGGCGAAGGCAGCUACCUGGACCAACACUGACACUGAGGCACGAAAGCGUGGGGAGCAAACAGGAUUAGAUACCCGUGUAGUC